CAUGUACCAGGCCACAAGGAGGAAGAUGCUGGGGGUCUCAGUUGGCUUGCUGCUUCUGGCAGGUCUCUGCUGUGGGGUUACUGUGAGACAGGAGCCGUUCAAAAUUGUCCAGGCCGGGAUCCAGACAAGCAUCAACUGCGAACAUGACGAUUCUUCAUUCUUAACCAUCCUGUGGUAUCGGCAGGAGAGCAACAGUAUGCAGAAGCAGCUGCAGCUUGUCGGCUACUCUGUUGAGGGAAAUGAUCCAAAUAUGGAGAUGACGAACUACACGAUAAAGAGACCAGAUGUGAAACAUGCGUCGCUGACCACUCCUCCAGGACAGGCUGGAGACUCUGCAGUGUAUUUCUGUGCAACCAGUAAAGGCACAGCGAGAGCUCCCUGUCUCACAGCUGCACACGAACUGCGCUGGACUCCCCCCAUCCUCAGCUAG